UCAGAUGAACAUAAAGGGAGAAAGGCUGC
rnacentral:piRNA from 1 species